rnacentral:rRNA from 1 species
GGUCUGGCGGCGAGUGGCGAACGGGUGAGUAAUGUAUCGGAACGUGCCCAGUAGCGGGGGAUAACUACUCGAAAGAGUAGCUAAUACCGCAUACGCCCUACGGGGGAAAGGGGGGGAUCACAAGACCUCUCACUAUUGGAGCGGCCGAUAUCGGAUUAGCUAGUUGGUGAGGUAAAGGCUCACCAAGGCGACGAUCCGUAGCUGGUUUGAGAGGACGACCAGCCACACUGGGACUGAGACACGGCCCAGACUCCUACGGGAGGCAGCAGUGGGGAAUUUUGGACAAUGGGGGCAACCCUGAUCCAGCCAUCCCGCGUGUGCGAUGAAGGCCUUCGGGUUGUAAAGCACUUUUGGCAGGAAAGAAAUCGCAUGGAUUAAUACUCUGUGUGGAUGACGGUACCUGCAGAAUAAGCACCGGCUAACUACGUGCCAGCAGCCGCGGUAAUACGUAGGGUGCAAGCGUUAACCGGAAUUACUGGGCGUAAAGCGUGCGCAGGCGGUUCGGAAAGAAAGAUGUGAAAUCCCAGGGCUUAACCUUGGAACUGCAUUUUUAACUCCCGAGCUAGAGUGCGUCAGAGGGGGGUGGAAUUCCGCGUGUAGCAGUGAAAUGCGUAGAUAUGCGGAGGAACACCGAUGGCGAAGGCAGCCCCCUGGGAUGACACUGACGCUCAUGCACGAAAGCGUGGGGAGCAAACAGGAU